ACACAUCUCUGGUGAAAGAAAUAUAUCUAGCUGAAUAAAGUCAAAGAGUUUUAAAACUGUCACUUGCCUCUGGUAUUUCUUCACAUAAUGGAGGUAGUUACGGUGAACAAUGAUUGUUCUCACCAUCUUAGCACUGUGGCAGGUACCUGCAAGAAUACGGCCCCUGAU